AUGUCCUCAACUGGAUCUGGCUCCUUUUGGACUGCCAAGCAAAACAAAGAUUUUGAAAACACUUUGGCUAUGUUUGACAAGGACACUUCCAACCGCUAGAAUAAUGUUGCCAAGGCAGUUGGCGAAAAAACUGAGAGGAAGUCCAGAAGCAUUAUGAGCUUCUUGUUGAAGAUAUCAUGCUUAUUGAGCCUGGACAAGUGCCCACCCCAAAUUAUAGAAAGAAAU
rnacentral:lncRNA from 1 species